GGACAGGUGGCCGAGUGGUUAAAGGCAGCAGACUGUAAAUCUGCCGGAGUUUCUCCUACGUAGGUUCGAACCCUACCCUGUCCA
rfam:Proteobacteria bacterium ST_bin14 103, whole genome shotgun sequence.